ensembl:lncRNA
UCUACACAUACAGCACUUUGUCAACAAGUUAACAACCUAUAAUUGUGAAGAAAAAGAUGCACCUGGAGAAUUUCGAGAGGACAUUAACCGUGUUUUCAUUGCACUGCUGCACUGGCCUGCAGUCCCACAGUUACAACACUGAAAACUCAAUCUAUUUCCUUGUUACUCAUGAUCCUCCUGGUGAUAUUAAAGGCACAGCACGGUGGUUGACCAAGGAACAGUCACUCUUGCAAUCAGUCUCAGUUCAAAGUAGAGAGAGAGGAACCACAAUCACGCACAAAAGCUUGAGACAUAAGAACUUGUAACCAUGACAGCUGCAUCCUACAAACACUACAGAAGACAGUAACAGCAAUUCCUCCCUGCAAAGCCUGUGUUUACUCAGUUUCCUUUGUAUGCAUUGGCAGUCCCCAUUUAAGUACAGUAUCAGUACCACGACAAAACAGUUUUUAAGGUGUCUUGUCAUCAGAGGAAUGUUGUUGACCCUUCCCUCUUUUCAUGGGGUAAUACAGCAAGUAUUUUCUUUGAUGUGGAUCCUUGAGGCACUGAACAUGUGAACUUUCCAGGACUGCGUUAUUUUAUCUCAAAUAAGGGUCAGGAUUUGCAGGUAGAAAGGGUAUGAUCAACUAGUAAGAAUGGAGGAUUGAAAAAGAUUGACAUGGAAGACGGUUGUCCUGGUUUAGUUGGCAGUUAUACAGACCUGAUGUAGUGGAAAUGUCAUGACCUGAAACGGUGAUUGAGCACCUGGUGGGAAGGCAGGGCCAAUCCAGGGGAGCUCAGGUGCAUGCAAUGCUCCUGAGUGACGAGAAGGGGUGGAGCCAGGAUCCAUUCCCCUCCCAGACCUCAUUUAAGGGUUGGCAGCGGAGGUAAAGGUAUCUUCUGUUGGAGGUUCCUGUCUACUGAGGGUCUUCUACAGGGUUCAGAGAACUGAAAGGAAGGCAACAUCCUUGGAGGGAUUUUCUCAAAGCUGUCACAGGCUUAUUUCAUCCACCACAGAGAAAAGUGAUCCCAGGUACAUCACCGAGAACUCCUGUGAAACGCACUGACUGCAAUUGACCCCGCAUCCUGCCAAGUCCCAGGAGUGGGACACAAGGUCGGUGUCCCCUCCUGCUGUACCAGAUGCCAUCUUACCUCUUCAGAGGACCUUUACCCACAGCAUUGUGGAAGCCAUCACAUCUGCCUAUUUUCUCAGCAUAAACAAAGCCCUCGUCUAGAAACUGUUCUUUCUUCUCUCUUUCACUGUAUUUUGUGGAUAGAUCACGUCCACAGUGAGGUUUUUGAAAUGCCAACUGCUGAGAUUUUAAUCAAGCACCUGGUUCUGUUCAAACUGAAAAAUC